GAUGAACGCUGGCGGCGUGCCUAACACAUGCAAGUCGAGCGAACAGACGAGGAGCUUGCUCCUCUGACGUUAGCGGCGGACGGGUGAGAAACACGUGUAUAAUCCACCUAUCAGACUGGGAUAAUUUCGGGAAACCGGAGCUAAUACCGUAUAAUAUAUUGAACCGCAUGGUUCAAUAGUGAAAGACGGCUUUGCUGUCACUUAUAGAUGGAUCGGCGCCGCAUUAGCUAGUUGGUAAGGUAACGGGUUUCCAAGGCAACGAUGCGUAGACGAAGUGAGAGAGUGGUCGGCGGCAUUAGAGCUGGGACGCGGUCCAGACUCCUACGAGAGGCAGCAGUAGGGUAUCUUCCGCAAUGGGCGAAAGCAUGACGGAGCAGCGGCGCGUGAGUGAUGGCGGUCUUCGGAGCGGAAAGCUCUGUUAUGGGGGAAAAACAAAUGUGUAAGUAGAUGUGGACGUAUUGACGGUACCUGGUCAGGAAGCAACGGCUAACUACGUG
rnacentral:rRNA from 1 species